GGUAGGUUGGCCGAGCAGUCUAAGGCGCUGGUUUAAGGCACGAGUCACUUCGAUGGCGCGAGUUCGAAUCUCGCACAUAUCA
rnacentral:tRNA from 1 species